rnacentral:rRNA from 1 species
UACAGAGGGUGCAAGCGUUAAUCGGAAUUACUGGGCGUAAAGCGCGCGUAGGUGGUUUGUUAAGUUGGAUGUGAAAUCCCCGGGCUCAACCUGGGAACUGCAUCCAAAACUGGCAAGCUAGAGUAUGGUAGAGGGUGGUGGAAUUUCCUGGUGUAGCGGUGAAAUGCGCAGAUAUCAGGAGGAACACCUGUGGCGAAAGCGGCUCACUGGACCAUUACUGACGCUGAUGCACGAAAGCUAGGGGGAGCAAACAGG